UGACCUCGCCAGGAUUUGAUUUGAUCAGAAGUUGCCUGCCAUCAAGGUGAGUCAGGACAAACUGAAAUCCACAGAGCGCCUCUGUUAAAUUGAGGGUGCGCUCCACAAUGAGAUCAUCAACCUUCCGCUCAAACUUGGGGUGAUCCCUCAGUUGCAAUACAAAAACAAUAUCUCCAGUAACCGUAUCAGGCGCUUCAUCAGCUUGACCCUCAAAAACUAUUUUCUGGCCAUGAUGCAUCCCUUUCUCAACAUGUACCUCCAGCACUUUCUUUUCUUGAGAUACUUUUUU
rnacentral:misc_RNA from 1 species